UACGUAGGGUGCAAGCGUUAAUCGGAAUUACUGGGCGUAAAGCGUGCGCAGGCGGUUGUGCAAGACAGAUGUGAAAAUCCCCGGGCUUAACCUGGGAACUGCAUUUGUGACUGCACGGCUGGAGUGCGGCAGAGGGGGAUGGAAUUCCGCGUGUAGCAGUGAAAUGCGUAGAUAUGCGGAGGAACACCGAUGGCGAAGGCAGCUCGCUGGGACGUUACUGACGCUGAGACGCGAAAGCGUGGGGAGCAAACAGG
rnacentral:rRNA from 1 species